rnacentral:rRNA from 1 species
GUAUGUCCCCGAGCGUUAUCCGGAUUUAUUGGGCGUAAAGCGAGCGCAGACGGUUGAUUAAGUCUGAUGUGACAGCCCGGAGCUCAACUCCGGAAUGGCAUUGGAAACUGGUUAACUUGAGUGCAGUAGAGGUAAGUGGAACUCCAUGUGUAGCGGUGGAAUGCGUAGAUAUAUGGAAGAACACCAGUGGCGAAGGCGGCUUACUGGACUGUAACUGACGUUGAGGCUCGAAAGUGUGGGUAGCAAACAGGAUUAGAUACCCUGGUAGUCCACACCGUAAACGAUGAACACUAGGUGUUAGGAGGUUUCCGCCUCUUAGUGCCGAAGCUAACGCAUUAAGUGUUCCGCCUGGGGAGUACGACCGCAAGGUUGAAACUCAAAGGAAUUGACGGGGACCCGCACAAGCGGUGGAGCAUGUGGUUUAAUUCGAAGCAACGCGAAGAACCUUACCAGGUCUUGACAUCCUUUGAAGCUUUUAGAGAUAGAAGUGUUCUCUUCGGAGACAAAGUGACAGGUGGUGCAUGGUCGUCGUCAGCUCGUGUCGUGAGAUGUUGGGUUAAGUCCCGCAACGAGCGCAACCCUUAUUGUUAGUUGCCAGCAUUCAGAUGGGCACUCUAGCGAGACUGCCGGUGACAAACCGGAGGAAGGCGGGGACGACGUCAGAUCAUCAUGCCCCUUAUGACCUGGGCUACACACGUGCUACAAUGGCGUAUACAACGAGUUGCCAACCCGCGAGGGUGAGCUAAUCUCUUAAAGUACGUCUCAGUUCGGAUUGUAGUCUGCAACUCGACUACAUGAAGUCGGAAUCGCUAGUAAUCGCGGAUCAGCACGCCGCGGUGAAUACGUUCCCGGGUCUUGUACACACCGCCCGUCACACCAUGGGAGUUUGUAAUGCCCAAAGCCGGUGGCCUAACCUUUAGGAAGGAGCCGUCUAAGCAGACAGAUCCGAG